rnacentral:rRNA from 1 species
GACGAACCACACAAACGUUAUUCGGAAUUACUGGGCGUAAAGGGCGCGUAGGCGGCUCUGUUAGUCAGGCGUGAAAUUCCUGGGCUCAACCUGGGGACUGCGCUUGAUACGGCAAGGCUUGAGGGCAGGAGAGGCUCGCGGAAUUCCCAGUGUAGAGGUGAAAUUCGUAGAUAUUCGGAGGAACACCAGUGGCGAAGGCGGCUCACUGGUCCAUUACUGACGCUGAGGUGCGAAAGCGUGGGGAGCAAACAGG